rnacentral:rRNA from 1 species
CAGUAGCCGCGGGAAUACGAAGGGGGCUAGCGUUGUUCGGAAUUACUGGGCGUAAAGGGCGCGCAGGCGGCCAUUCAAGUUAGAUGUGAAAGCCCUGGGCUCAACCUAGGAAUUGCAUUUGAUACUGUUUGGCUUGAGUUCGGGAGAGGUGAGUGGAAUUCCCAGUGUAGAGGUGAAAUUCGUAGAUAUUGGGAAGAACACCAGUGGCGAAGGCAGCUCACUGGACCGACACUGACGCUGAGGCGCGAAAGCGUGGGGAGCAAACAGGAUUAGAUACCCGCGUAGUCCCUGUCUCUUAUAC